UUUUUUUCUUUUUCUACAAGACAGAGUCCUGCUCUGUUGCCCAGAGCUGGAGUGCAAUGGCAUGAUCUUGGCUCACUGUAAACUCUGACUCCCAGGUUCAAGUAAUUCUCCUGCCUCAGCUUCCUGACUAGCUGGGAUUACAGGUGCAUUCCACUACUCCCAGCUAAUCUUUGUAUUUUUAGUAGGGGCAGGGUUUCACCAUGUUGGCUAGGCUGGUCUUGAACUCCUGACCUCCUGAUCUGCCAGCCUCAGCCUCCCAAACUGCUCUGAUUACAGGUGUAAGCCACUGCACCCAGCUGACAAUUUCUUUCUUUCAAUAUUUUAAUUUUAUAAUCCUACGCUCUCCUGGCCUACCAGGUUUCUGCUGAGGAACCUACUGAUAGUCUUAUGGGAUUUCCCUUGCAGGUGAUGAAUCAUUUUUUCUUGCUGCUUUUAAAUCAUCUAUGUCUUUGGCAGAGAAAGCCAUUCACCAAGCAGCCUGUCCAGAGAUUUUGGGCUGUCUGACUGGCAGGAUCUGCAAGUGGGCUUACUGCUGAAGUUUUCUGUUGGGUGGGCCUGAUGCCUGGGCCAUUGAGCAGGCAGGCCUGGUACUGGGGUGGUCCUGGAAAUUGUAUCUUUAGGGAUUGGCCUGUGACCUGGUGCCUAGGCUUGCCUCAUACAGCUACAAACCUAGAACUCGGGUCUUCAGGGGAUGGCCUGAAGCCUGGGGUUAAAAGGGUUGGAUUUUUACAGGGUGACCAGGACCCUGAAUCAUGGGAACUUGCCUGGUGCUGAAGUGGAAAUGGAGCCUGAAGAUAUGGGGUAGGCCUAGAGCCUGAGUAUACAGGGGUAAGGCUUACAGCCUGGGUCUGCAAAAACCAGCCUGGCACCAGGGUACACUGGGGUAGGCCUGGUCCUAGAGUCUGUGGCAAAGCUGGGUGCUCAUUUUAUUCUCUUUUUCUCAAACAUAGGAUAUCUGUCUUCUCACUGUGCUGCAUGGGCUUGGGGAAAAGAUGACAUGGGUAAUGUGAAUCUGCCCUUCCUACCAUCUUCAGUGAGUCUUUUCUUAUUUUGUGAUCCCCAUAUGUGUCGCCAUCUGUCAUCUGGAUUCCUUGGCACUUAUGAAGUUAUUCUCAUGCAUCCAUGUUUAUUCAACUUGAUGUUUCUGUGAGGGGUUGAGUUCUGGGAAAAUUUUAUUUUGCCAUUUUGUUGGUGUCACUCUGUGUGUUUCUUUUGUUUUCAUGUUUGUAUUUUUUAAGAAAUUAGGUCUUACUCUGUCACUCAGGCUGCAGUGCAAUGUCACAAUCAUAGCUUGCCACAGCCUCAAACUCCUAGGUACAAGUGAUCCUCCUAACUCAGCCUCCUGAGUAGCUGGGACUACAAACAUGUGCCAUCACACCUGGAUAAUAUUUUUUAAAGUUUUUAAUAGAGAUAGGGUCUCACUGUGUUGCCCAAGCUGAUCUCAAACUCCUGGCUUCAAGCAAUCAUCCUGCCUUGGCCUCCCAAAGUGCUGGGAUUAUAGACCUGAGCCACUGCCCUUGGCCUGUUUUAUUUUGUUUUGUUUAAUGGACACCUACACCAUUUGCCUUUGGAUAUAGAAAAUUCUUCCUGAAUUUUAAAAUAAAACCUAAAUUUUAAGAACAAUUUCAAAGAUAUGGCACUUUUUUGUCCUGCUGUUUACUCACUUUAUAUUACUUAAAGACUCAAAUGUGUCUCCUAUUUUUCCUACAAUUAACAAGAGAAUAGAGUGUGGAGUGUCAUCGUAAGAAUGGCCAUACAACUAAAAGGAUGCACCAUUUUAAAAUGACGUUAUCAAAUAUCUCAGUGAAAUGAGACCCACAAGCAAUGAUAAAUAUGUCUAUUCUCACAAAAUUCUCUGCUCCAAGAAAUUAACUCGUUUAACACUGAAACACAUGCAGAUAUUGACUUUAUGUGGCAAGGAUGCAGAUAAAAAGAGACUUGCCAGAUUUCCUGACAGAUCCUAAAUGUCAGAUCUCUCAUUAUUUCCCAAGUAAUGCUAUUACAUGGUAUUAUAUGAUAACUUUUAUUUAGCCACUGUUAUUAACCCAUCACCUAUUAAUUAAAAUUUUCAUGUAUAGUUUUCUAUAAAAUUAGUGUAAUCAACUUUACUAAUACAAGAGAUGGCUUCUCCAUCUCUUUCAAUAAUUCAAGAACCC
rnacentral:lncRNA from 1 species